ACGUAGGGAGCAAGCGUUGUCCGGAUUUACUGGGUGUAAAGGGUGCGUAGGCGGCUUUGCAAGUCAGAUGUGAAAUCUAUGGGCUCAACCCAUAGCCUGCAUUUGAAACUGUAGAGCUUGAGUGAAGUAGAGGCAGGCGGAAUUCCCCGUGUAGCGGUGAAAUGCGUAGAGAUGGGGAGGAACACCAGUGGCGAAGGCGGCCUGCUGGGCUUUAACUGACGCUGAGGCACGAAAGCGUGGGUAGCAAACAG
rnacentral:rRNA from 1 species